rnacentral:rRNA from 1 species
AUUGAACGCUGGCGGCAGGCCUAACACAUGCAAGUCGAGCGGAGCGGCGGACGGGUGAGGAAUGCUUAGGAAUAUGCCUGGCAGUGGGGGAUAACGUCCGGAAACGGGAGCUAAUACCGCAUACUAUCAGAAGAGCCUAGGUCGGAUUAGCUAGUUGGUGGGGUAAAGGCCUACCCAGGCGUCGAUCCGUAACUGGUCUGAGAGGAUGAUCAGGCACCCUGGAACUGAAACACGGUCCAGACUCCUACGGGAGGCAGCAGUGGGGAAUAUUGGACAAUGGGCGGAAGCCUGAUCCAGCCAUGCCGCGUGUGUGAAGAAGGUCUUCGGAUUGUAAAGCACUUUAAGUUGGGAGGCGUUACCCACAGAAUAAGCACCGGCUAACGUCGUGCCAGCAGCCGCGGUAAUUC